rnacentral:rRNA from 1 species
CCUACGGGAGGCAGCAGUAGGGAAUCUUCCACAAUGGGCGCAAGCCUGAUGGAGCAACGCCGCGUGGGUGAAGAAGGUCUUCGGAUCGUAAAACCCUGUUGUUCGAGAAGAAAGUGCGUGAGAGUAACUGUUCACGUUUCGACGGUAUCUAACCAGAAAGCCACGGCUAACUACGUGCCAGCAGCCGCGGUAAUACGUAGGUGGCAAGCGUUAUCCGGAUUUAUUGGGCGUAAAGGGCACGCAGGCGGUCUUUUAAGUCUGAUGUGAAAGGCUUCGGCUUAACCGGAGUAGUGCAUUGGAAAAUGGGAGAUUUGAGUGCAGAAGAGGAGAGUGGAACUCCAUGUGUAGCGGUGAAAUGCGUAGAUAUAUGGAAGAACACCAGUGGCGAAAGCGGCUCUCUGGUCUGUAACUGACGCUGAGGUUCGAAAGCGUGGGUAGCAAACAGGAUUAGAUACCCUAGUAGUC